UCGACCUCUACAUGGUCAGCUCGGGUGAAAUGUCCUUUAAGCUCCAAAAUGCUCCAAAGUCAUAGCUUUACUCCGAAAUGCACCUGAACUUGAAAACAUACCUAGAAGAGUAGAAAACAUAGAUAUAUAUAUAGUAAAACACCUAUAUACCAUGGAUGAAAACGAGUCAAAUCCAAGGUAUAUCAUUUACUUAGAGCCAAAUCCUACAACAUGCUCUAAUGGCUAGUUUUCGAUGUCUUGCUUAGUUUUUGAUUUGUUUUCUUUAUUUUCUCUUUAUGGUCGUUAGACUUAGAUUUCUGAGCAAUAUAUAAGCUCAUUUUCGACUGUACAAACCACCUUUCAAUCAAUAAAAUUAGUAUGCAAAACCUUGUCUUUUCAAAGAGUGUUCUUUAAGUGUUCUUUAGACUCUUAAGUGUGAGAAGCAUUAGUAGUCUACUGAGCUCGUGGUUCUAUAGGUUGCUUGAGAUAUUCAUCAGCCUUGAAUAUCACAGAUUGAUAGAGUCAAUCAAUACCCACAUAUGGAGACAGUCAAUCAUCUAUCCAUACCAUCUCCAUCAUCGAUCAUCAAACAUCUAUCCAUUAACCAUUCCAUCCUUUAUAUCUUUUAGUUUGUGUUCUUAUUUUAUCAUUCAUAAACUCGUUGUUCUUCCUUUUAUUUCAGGAUAGCUUGGAUUAAAGGGACAUAAAUUCAUUAUUCGACCUCUUCCAUUUCUACCGGUUUUUGGACCAUCGCCCAUUCCAUCAACCUAGCUUGGAUUAAAUGGACAGAAAUUUGUAUAAUGUGUUAUACCAAUUUUGUCCCUAGUGAUUAUUCGUAUCUUCCAUGAACUAUUCGUGAAACACAAUCGACCUGAUAUUUGAGGUAAGAUUGACAAUUCCUCCUCUCUAGGUUGGGUGGCCGUUUGUUUUAGUGCUGCAUGUGCCUCAUUCCAAAGUGUUGAUUCUGAUUCUACCAAUUGAAGAGUAUCUCUAGGGUUGACAUGUAUGAUGCUGAAAACCAUAUUAUUGCCAUAAAAUCCAUGUGAAAUGAUGAUUAUCCACAUGUGGUGUAGUCCUCUAGAACAAGUAGUCCACAUUUGCAAAAAUCGACUGCAUAGGGAAGUUCUCAUACGCUUUACUCAUAUAUGUUUUGAUUGUCAUGAACUUGCUUUGGCAAGAUUUAUUGGUUCGUAUACCAUGAAAGAUUUCAUUACGUUGCCCGAGAUCAAUCAUCCUGCCAUGAAAAUUGAUUGUGUUUCCGAUAUAAGUAUUGGAAGACAUCACUUUAACCUUUGACACAAUACCUUGGAAAUGAUUUUAUAUCUUAUAUUACAUAGACUUAUCAGUCGCAGUUUUGUCAUUUUGGUAGGUCUCUGUGUUUUUGGAAUCAAAUAUAUAUUUGUAAUGUUCAACCUAGCAUUCAAUUUUCCUUUUCUCAAAAAAAUAUUCACCAGAUCAAGACAAUUCAUUUUUAUGAUAGGCCAUGAGUGCUGAAAGAAAAGCGUGUCAUGCCGUCUGGACUGGGUGUUUUCUCUGACUGCAUCAAGAAUAAUGUUUUUCUUAUUUCAUCAUAUGUCACAUUCCUAAUCAGCACAUGGUUUAUCUAAGAAGUAAUGCUUGGUCGGAUCACAUUUGAAAAUUUUCAAACUUUGAGGAUAAUAUGGAGCUGAAUAAAUCUUUAAAAUAUUCCACUACUACUUUUUCAACGUCUUUAUCCUUUGUUAUCCACGGUCCACCUUCAUCAUGUAAACUCACAGUUCUACUUUUAGAUUGCUGUUGUUUCAAUAUGAUAAAAUCUGGUGUUAAGAUCCCUUGACGCGUACCACAUGUUCUGACUCUUCAGGUCCCACUAUUGUUCCUCAUCUUUGUACACUUCUUGUAGCUUUUUUAUGACAUCCACAAUUUUCUCUUGAGUUAUAUUGUCAUUCGUUGGACUUCUUCCAAUAUCCUUUGUAGUUCAUUGAUCCUCUCUUUCACAUAAAGGAGAUUGUUUUUCUCCAUCUAUAAAUUUCAUGACGGUAAUUAAUAAGUUUUGUGACAAAAUUUGCAUUAUUUCCUUCUCCUGAUUCAUCCCAGCCUUUACUAAUGGAGUCUAGUAAACCAUCAUGUUCAGUCCAUGUUUUAUCAAACUGUAACCGUCCUCUUCACCUGGGUACUUUGUCCUCAAGAAACAUAUAUUAUUUUUUUUUUAUAACACUUCAUUUUAUUUAUUAACCCGAAUGUACUUCAUUAAUAAACAUUGGAAAAUAAUUAUGAAACAAGAACAACUUAGAGUCUUGUAUUCUCUCUUUCGCCAGUUUAUCUGCAGGAUUAUUCGAUGUACAGUUGAUCCAUUGAAACUAUACUUUUUCUAACCGCGUCUUCCACCCAGAAUUUCUCUUUUCCAAUUGUAUACAUCAAAAUGCAACUCACUACAAGAAAACGUAUCAGUAACAACGAAGAUUUACAACGAAAAUAUUUCCUCGAAAAUUUGCAAGGUGUUUACAACGCAAUUACGACGAGACCAAAAUUCGUCGUAAACUCCAUGGAACUUUACGAUGAAACUGUUUCGUCGUAAAGUCCAUGUAAGUUUAUGACGAAAGUACGUGGAAAGCGAAAAUAGUCGUAAACGUUACAUCGACAUUACAACAAAUCAUGUUACCGUUAUAUUUAGGUGAAAACGUGUAUUUAAUGUGCUUUUACUUACUUAAAUUCGUUGUAAAGUCGUUGUAAAUAUUAUGUUAAAAUCAUGUAAAAUCCAUGUAAAACAUUCCUUUUAAAAUCGUUGUUAUAUUUCAAUUACCCAACUCAAAAAUUUCUCUAUAUAUAUGUCAUUUCCCACAACUCUCUUCCUCACAACACACAAACGGAAAAAAAAAUCAGCAAAAAAAAAUUUUCAAAAAAAAAUCUAAGAAAAAAAUGGCCGGUGGUGGUAAUAUUUACGAGUUACGGAGUUUGAUGUAUUUGCACAAAGAUUCCGAUGCGAGGGUGACGAACGCAUUUCUGAACGGGCUAGAGACAUUCAUGCACCAGGCGGGUACACCGAUCACGCAGGAAAGCGGUAAGAUGUUAUGCCCCUGUCAAAAAUGUAAGAAUUCAAAAUUUGCACGUAGUGAAACUGUAUGGAAUCAUUUAGUAAACAGAGGAUUUACACCACAGUACUACAUUUGGUAUCAACAUGGAGAGGGUUAUGGGGGAAAUAAAGCUAGUAGUAGUAAUAAUAAUUUUGAGGAUGCUCAUCAUAAUGAAGAACCGAAUCAUGUGCAUAAUGAAUAUAAUUAUCAUCAAGAGGAGCAGAUGGUAAAUCAUGAUAGGGUUCAAGAUAUUAUUAGUGAUGCAUUUUUAGAAACAACUACAACAAUAGCUGGUAAACCUAUUCAACGUAAUUUCGUCGUAAACCGAAAAACACGGGCGUGGUAAUUUCGUCGUAAAUGGAAAAAGACGGGCCUGGUAAAUUCGUCGUAAAUGAAAAAAAACGCGGCCCUGGUAACUUCGUCGUAAAUGGAAAAGCUUGGUAAACCUAUUCAACGUAAUUUCGUCGUAAACAGAAAAACACGGGCCUGGUAAUUUCGUUCGUAAAUGGAAAAACACGGGCCUGGUAGCUUCGUCGUAAAUGGAAAAACGCGGGCCUGGUAACUUCGUCGUAAUAUUACGUCGCGUUUACGACGAAUCGUUAUCUAUAUAUUGAGACGCCGAGAGCUAGGCUACCUCGUUCAUUCCUCCCAAACUCCUUUGCUCUCCCUCUAAGAUGGCUCCUAGGAGGAAAUCAGCAGCACCUACUUAUGUGCAGUUGUUUGGCGAUGGUUCCGGUACAUCUUCUUCCGGUCCAUCGUCUUCCGAUGCAGUUCCAGACUCUCAGCCUUCUCAGAGAGUUGCUUGGAGUCCUCCUCCUCCACCGCAGAUGCCUCCACCUCCUCCUCCAGCGGCUGCACCUCAGCCUGUCCCAGAAGGUGCAGUUCAUCCGGAUUUGCGUGUGCCUUCAUAUGCCCCAUUCGCGAGAUAUACGGUGGAGGAUUUGCUUGUCCAGCCUGGUGGGGAGGGUUUGGAUGUUCUAGACCCCGAUAGACCCCGAGGAACUUAUUGGUAAGUUAUUAAUUUUUAUUACAUUAAAAUUUAAAUUAUUUUUAUUUUCUAACGGUUAUAUUGUUUUUUUUCAGGUUUGGGGCUAACAACCGUGUUAGCCAGAGCGUUUCGAAGACGAUUAAGGGUUAUUACGAUGGGGCAUAUCCGAACUGGAGCAAGACACUAAAUCACGUUAAGAUCACUUGGUUUAAAUGUUUUGCGGUAAGAUUUUUAAAUUUAAUUAAAUUUCCACUUUUAAAUAUAUAUAUAUUUUUUAAAUAUUUAUUAUUAAUUAUAAUUUCUUCAAAAUUUUUGUGUUUCAGCAAAAGUGGCAUUGGUCUUUGGGAAUCACUGAGAGGGUGAAGGCGGAAUUCGUUGCAAAGACAAAGAUCCGCCUCUGCAACACAGUCUCCGAUUGGAAGGACAAGUGGGAGAUCUACGGGUAUGAGGGAAAGCCCACUGAGCUCACGAAGGAUGUGUGGGAUGGCCUCAUCGCCUAUUGGAAGCACCCCUCUUUGAUCGAAAAGGCCAAUUCGUGCUCGGUUUCUCGAAGAAUGAAGGAUAAAGAUGGUCAUUUGCCCAUGAUUCACAGAACAGGACAAAAACCUCAUGCAGGAAUCCGUCUAGAAGCUGUAAAUUUUGUUUUAAAUAUUUAUUUUAAAAUUUUCAAUUAAUUUAAUUUUUAAUAUUUAAUUUAAUUUUUUUUUGUAGUUUGAGAAGACGGGAGUCUUACCAUCUCUGUCUGACCUAUUGAAGAUGACUCACGCCACAUCCGACGGAGUUUUUGUGGAUCCUGCAUCUGAGAAACUCUUCCAAGCAAUGGCUUCUCGGAUUGAAGAACGGGAGACGCAACUAACCCAAGAGUCUCCCGAUGGAUUACCCGUCACAUUGUCCACCGAAGACGCCGACAGAAUCUUCGAAGAGGUACAACUUAAAAUUUUUGUUUACAUUAUUUUUAAUAUUUUAACAUAAUUAACUAUAUUAAUAUAUGUUUUAAUUUUAUAGGUGGCUCCUAAAGAGAAGGGACGGAUAGUCGGUAUAGGCUCUGUUAACGAAGUUGCAAGGGCAACUUCGUCAUACACUUCGAGACGGGAUGAAGAGACUUCUCAGAUGAAAGCUCGAAUGGAUAGCCAGCAGGUUGUUUAGACUCUCUUGAGGAUUUGCUAGACGUGAUGGCCGUGGGAAACCCGGUUAUUUAGAGAAUGUUGAGUGAGAGACGCGCCGCUCUUGGGUUGCUAGUACGAGAUCCCCAAGAGUCCGAUCCAACCCGUCAACAGCCGAGCAACCCCACCGACUACUUCGAUGAUAUGUAGUUUUUUUUAUAUUUCGGUUUGUAUUAUGAAUUUAAAUAUUAUUGUAUGACUUUUAAAUGCUUUUUUAAAAUAUGUUUUUAUUUUCAUAUUUCGUUUUAAAAUUAAAAUUAUUUUAAGUUCUGAAUUUUAAAUAAAUUCAAAUUUAUAUUUGAGGUUAAAAAAAUUAUUCAAAUUUAUUAUAUAUUAAUAAGAAUCGAUGUAAACUCCAUGUAAAUGUUUACGAGUGAUUAAUGUCGAAAGAUUUACGAGGGUUUUACAUCGAAACGUUUACGUGUUCUUUACAACGAAAAUAUUUACGUCUGCUUUACAUCGAAACCGUUACGUGGACUUUACCACGGAAUAUUACGUCUCUUUUACGAUGAAACGAUGCCCUGCGCUUUACGAGGAAUAUAUUUCGUCGUAAACGUAACAAGUUGUUUACGACGAAACCUCCGUUACGACGGAAGUUUUACGACGAAACGUCUUUCGAGGUUAAUUCGUCGUAACACUCCGUUUACGACGAAUUUACAACGUAUAUUGCCCUUGUAAAAAAUAUGUUUUCUUGUAGUGACUUCAUAUUAUUCAAUAUCUCAAUAGCUUUUUGACAAUCACUUUCGACAAUAACGUUCAUGUGUUCACUACUCCAAGCAUGUUGCAAAGCAGUCAAUAUUGCCUGCAUGCAGUUCACACUCCAAAGCAUUUUUAACUUGUUUCCCAGUAGCUUAAACAGCACCUCUAUACACCCUAGAGUUGUCACGUAUGACCCAUCUAACAUAUAUUAUUAUUUACAUUAACCAAUCAAAUAUAUAAUAUUUCUAAAAUUUUUUAAUAAUUAAUUAAUUGUUAUUAAAAAUUUAAAUUUUAUUUUUAGUUAUAACAAAAGCUGUUGAGAAAAUCUAACAAAAUCAUGCGAAAAUGUAAAUAAUUUUAAUAAAAUAAUAUAUUAAUUAACUUUGUAAUUAGUAUUAUAAUAUUAUUAUAAAUUAAUAUUAAUUAAAAUUUUACUAUAAAAGCAAAUAAUUAUUUAUGAUAUUUUAAUAAAUUUUAUAAUUAUAGUCUAUAUUAUAUUAAAAUAAUGUGUUAUAUGAAUUAAAUAUAAAAAAUUAUAUUAAAUUGGUAAAUUAACCUUUUUAAUAGUUCCAUUAAACAGAUUCUCAUUCACCAUUAAAGCGGGUUAAAUUUUUAAACGAUGUAAUAUCUCUAUACAAAAGAUAAAUUUAUUAGCAUAAGUUAGACUUUUAUAACUAUAACUAUAUAUUAGCUUCUUAUUUAUUUUGAAACUGUAAAAAUAUAUGAUCUCAAAAUUAUUAUAUACAAAAUAUAAUAUGUAACUAACCUUUACUUGAUGUUUUAUUUACUAAACAUUUUAUUAGAAAUUUUGAAAUUUUAAUUUAAAAUUUAAUGUUUAUUUUAAUUAUAACAGAUUAUUUUUAUUAAAAUAUUAAAAAUGUUAACAAAAAUUCAAAUAUGUUUUUAUAAAAUAGUGAAUAAAUGUAGUAACAAAAAAAAAUUUAAAAGUCAUAUAAUCUUCUAAAAUAUAGUUUUGUAGUUUUCUAAUUUUUUCUUGACAAAAUACACAAUUUUGAAAAUAAAUAUUCUAAACUCAAAAGUUAAUAUUUCAAAUUAUACAAAGCUUAAAAUCAUAGAUGCUAAAGUAUAUUCUUUAAAAAUACAACAUUAAAAAUAAAUUAUUUUGUAAAAAUUAAAAAAAAAAUAUUAUAUUUUCAAAUCUUAAUUUAAUGACAAAUAAUCAAAUAUUAUUAAGAAUAGCAACGGAGGAAGAGGUUCAACAAGAUUUAUUCAUGAUGCAUCCGGAGAAAGCGCCAGGUCCGGAUGGAAUGACAACUCUCUUUUUUCAGCAUUCCUUGCAUGUUAUUAAGAAGGAUGUGGUUGAGAUGGUGAAUAAUUUUCUGGUUAGAGAAAAUAUG